CCUACGGGAGGCAGCAGUGAGGAAUAUUGGUCAAUGGACGAGAGUCUGAACCAGCCAAGUAGCGUGAAGGAUGACUGCCCUAUGGGUUGUAAACUUCUUUUAUAUGGGAAUAAAAUGUUCCACGUGUGGGAUUUUGUAUGUACCAUAUGAAUAAGGAUCGGCUAACUCCGUGCCAGCAGCCGCGGUAAUACGGAGGAUCCGAGCGUUAUCCGGAUUUAUUGGGUUUAAAGGGAGCGUAGGCGGACUGGAAAGUCAGCGGUAAAAUCGAGGGGCUCAACCUCUUUCCGCCGUGGAAACUGUCGGGCUUGAGGGGGCGGGAAGCAUGCGGAAUGCGUGGUGUAGCGGUGAAAUGCUUAGAUAUGACGAAGAACCCCGAUUGCGAAGGCAGCAUACCGGCGCCCGACUGACGCUGAGGCACGAAAGCGUGGGUAUCGAACAGGAUUAGAUACCCUGGUAGUC
rnacentral:rRNA from 1 species